rnacentral:rRNA from 1 species
CCUACGGGUGGCAGCAGUGGGGGAUAUUGCACAAUGGGGGGAACCCUGAUGCAGCGACGCCGCGUGGGUGAAGGAGCGUUUCGGCGCGUAAAGCCCUAUCGGCAGGGAAGAAGAUGACGGUACCUGACCAAGAAGCCCCGGCUAACUACGUGCCAGCAGCCGCGGUAAUACGUAGGGGGCAAGCGUUAUCCGGAUUUACUGGGUGUAAAGGGGGCGCAGACGGCAAUGCAAGCCAGGAGUGAAAGCCCGGGGCCCAACCCCGGGACUGCUCUUGGAACUGCAUGGCUGGAGUACAGGAGGGGCAGGCGGAAUUCCUAGUGUAGCGGUGAAAUGCGUAGAUAUUAGGAGGAACACCGGUGGCGAAGGCAGCUUACUAAACUGCCACUGUCAUUGAUGCACGAAAGCGUGGGGAGCAAACAGGAUUAGAUACCCGGGUAGUC